UACGUAGGGCGCAAGCGUUGUCCGGAAUUAUUGGGCGUAAAGAGCUCGUAGGCGGCUUGUCACGUCGGGUGUGAAAGACCGGGGCUUAACCCCGGUUCUGCAUUCGAUACGGGCUAGCUAGAGUGUGGUAGGGGAGAUCGGAAUUCCUGGUGUAGCGGUGAAAUGCGCAGAUAUCAGGAGGAACACCGAUGGCGAAGGCAGGUCUCUGGGCCGCAACUGACGCUGAGGAGCGAAAGCAUGGGGAGCGAACAGG
rnacentral:rRNA from 1 species